rnacentral:lncRNA from 1 species
GCUGUAGAUAACUUCAUGAGCACAAGGCCAUUUUAUGUUCAGAAAAUGUCCGAACUUAUGAAUGUCCUCAUCUUCCAUCAGAGUCAGGAUGGGAUUCGGAGGCAUGUAAGUUGAACCAGUCAUUAUCCUUCAUUACAAAAACAUGUUUCCAGCCGCAGACUGUACUGGCUUCAGUGACUUUACUAGCACUGUCAGUUUGGAGCAUGUAGGUGCUGCCAAAGGACCUUUUGAGAACAGUUCUGUCUUGGUUGUUUGCUUAUCUGCUGCCAUGGAAACAGGUAAUCAGACCAUCCAUCCAGACCCUUGUCAAAGAAGAACAUCUAAAACAGCAAUACGUAUUCAUGAUCCGUUUUCUUCGAACACCGACUUCAUAGAAAAGAAAAGAUCUUUCCACGGAGGAUUUUAAAUCACAGCAACCCUAUUUUUUUUUUUUUUUUUUUGAUUCUGGCUAGAGAGCCUGAGGGGAAACAUACCACAGAAUACAACAUCAUUAUACUGCAGUCUCUUAUGAUCCAUCAGAAAUGAAAACGGGACCACCUGCUAGGUCUAUUAUGUAUUUAAUAUGAAUAAGAAGUAUCCCACUGCUGGUCAUUAAAAGAAAUUGUAAGCCAUCUGACAUUAUACUUAUCACCCAUGCCCUGCCUCAAGUGUGUUGGGAAACACAGAGUUUGAGGAUGGGUGCAUUAGAGUCGGUCCUUUGAUGUGAGUACAAGGCAUGUGAACCCAAAGGAAGUCAUUUAUCUGUCAAAAAACAUCUCUGAGACAGCAUUUUGUAAAAUAUAAUUAUAAAACAGUAUUAUUGGCACAAGGAAGAAUGGAAAAAAAAUUCCAGCAGCUGCAAAAGGCAUUAAGUUCGUCUUACCUGAUAUCCGCAUGGUCUGUGAACUCAUGAGAAAAAUAGAAAAUUUGGUCUGUUUAGCAAGGAUACAUUCAGGAAGUCAUGGAUCUUGCCUGACUGUUGACAUGGCUCAAUGACUAUACAAGUUUCCCUGGGCCUAACUCGAGCUACCUGAAUACAGUUAACUGGCUCGUUCAAUAGUUCCUGUGGGAUAUUUUAACCCAUGCCCUGUAAAAGUUCAAAGCUAAAUGUGGCCAUAUAUUGGGGGAAAUGUUUGUCAAAUUAGAGUUGUGGAGAGGGAUAACUGGAAACUUCCAACAUGAAUGAGACCCAGAAACAAUCUUUUGCUUGAAUGCAUUGAGCCUUGCAAACCAUCUGAGUUUCCAGAUCCUAAACAAGAGGAAGGCCAAAUUUAGAUAUUGUGUUGAUUUUUGAGAGAAUGCAGGACUGGAAAAUCCAUCUUGGAUCUCUGAAUCAUAUUCUGGGAACGGUAGGAACUUCUUGUUUUUAUUUUGGACCUCAAUUUUAAAAUAGGAAGUGUUGAUGGAGAGGCUGUGGCACUUGAUCCAAUUCUAAGUAUCUUGUUUGGAUGGGUGAUGAACACCGUAGGGAUUUUCCUGUCCCAGCUUACAUUAACAUAGACCACAUUCAUUUAAAAUACCCCCAAACACAGAAGACACAAAACUAAAAUGUUUCAUUCAAGAAGGCAUUGUUAGGAGUUCAAAUGUGAUUGAGUUGUUGUCCACAAAAUAAAACACAACAAAAGCCAGGUAAUGCUCCUGUGAUGGUCAGCCUUGAUUGUUAACAUCAUUUUGAGUCACCAUGGGAAUAACUUGAGUCUGUCAGAGAGUUUCUAGGUUAGGUUCAUUAAGGUGGAAAGCCGCAUUCUAAAUAUGAGCAGCACCCAUCCAUGGGGCAGAGUCCUGGAGCCAGUAAAAAGGAGACAGCCAGUCAAAUGCAAGGAUUCAUCACUUUCUGCUUCAACGUAAUGAGUGCAAUGGAACCAACUGUCUCUAGCUCAUUCCACCAUUACUUAUCCACUUUCUAUCAACAGAAUCCUUCAAAUGUGAACCAAAAGAAAGCAUCUCCUCCUUAUUUCUUGAAGAGCCAGAAAAGAGCUGAUAAAACGAUGUAUGUAGACUUUUUGUCUCUGAGUGAAUCUUAAUAUCAAUUUGCAACAGAAGAGCCAAACUCCAUCUACUGUGAGAUGGUUUCAGGUAGGGAUGAACCGGUUCAUGUCCCUGUUACUGCAGGGAUCCUGUCACUGUGUCCAACCCACAUAAGAAGCAGACUGUUUAUCACAAACAAUGGGAUACUGCUUAUCCAGCUGCCAAUUUUUUUUAUGAACAAUUGGUGAAAAGUUGCCUCUCUCAGGGACUGAAAGAACUUGUAGUAAAGCGUUAAACAUGUCUGGAAGCUUCUUGUUUUGCUUUGUUUUCUUGGUAAAUAUUAAGAGUCAGAGACUUUUUACUAAAGGUAACACGAGACCAUGUGGA